CGCAUCUGUGCAUGCAGCAUAUCAAUAAGCGGAGGAAAAGAAACUAACAAGGAUUCCCCUAGUAACGGCGAGUGAAGCGGGAAGAGCUCAAAUUUGAAAUCUUAAAGGGUUUCCCUUUACGAAUUGUAGUUUAAAGAAGUGUUUUCUGUUGAGGUUUUGGUAAAAGUUCUUUGGAAUAGGACAUCAUAGAGGGUGAGAAUCCCGUAUUUGACCUUUACUUUCAACUUUGUGAUACACUUUCAAAGAGUCGGAUUGUUUGGGAAUGCAGUCCAAAAUGGGUGGUAAGUUUCAUCUAAAGCUAAAUAUUGGCGAGAGACCGAUAGCGAACAAGUACCGUGAGGGAAAGAUGAAAAGAACUUUGAAAGGAGAGUUAAACAGUACGUGAAAUUGUCAAAAGGGAAGCGUUUGACACCAGUGUUGUUUUUCUGAAAAUCAAUUAAAGAACUGUUUAUGCUAAGCUGUUUAGACUUUAUCAGCUAUCUGUUUAGUUUUGAGCUCUUCUUUAAUGCACUUUUCAGUUAACAAGUCAACAUCAAUUUCUUUUGCUGUAAAAAAGCUUGAGGAAGGUGGCUUGAGAUUCGUCUUAAGUGUUUAUAGCCUCUUGCCUAUGCAGUCGGAGAGAUUGAGGUCUGCAGCGUAGAUCCUUCGGGGCUAAAUGCAUUUGUGCUAAGUUAUAGCAUUUCGUAGACAACUUGUUGACUAUGAUUUGUCUUGUAGCUUACUCGCUUAUGUUAUUUUACCUACGCUUAGGAUGUUGACAGCAGUAUAGACUGU
rnacentral:rRNA from 1 species